rnacentral:ncRNA from 1 species
AAGAGCCGGAUAUGGGAAAUCUGUAAGUCCGGUUCUGUGAGGGAUUCAGGGAGUAAUCCCUGGAUCUACUCGAU